rnacentral:rRNA from 1 species
UGCCAGCCGCCGCGGUAACACGGGGGGCGCAAGCGUUAUUCGGAAUUAUUGGGCGUAAAGGGCGCGUAGGCGGGAUGUCAAGUUAGGGGUGAAAGGCCUGGGCUCAACCUAGGAACUGCCUCUAAAACUGGCAAUCUAGAGUCCGGGAGAGGAUGGCGGAAUUCCCAGUGUAGAGGUGAAAUUCGUAGAUAUUGGGAAGAACACCAGUGGCGAAGGCGGCCAUCUGGUCCGGCACUGACGCUGAGGCGCGAAGGCGUGGGUAGCGAACGGGAUUAGAUA